CUCCCUCCAGCUGUCGGCUUCCUUCUGUGGCUCUCUAAGGAGGGGGAGAUGUGGCUGUCGGCUGUUCCAGAUUUACUUCCUGCCAGUUGAGCAGAAAGAAAACUUCUCUGCCUCAGCAUUUCAGACAGUUCGGUGGGUUUUGAUGAACACGGGUAGCCAUGGAAUCACUGUGACAAUCAAGCUGCAAGGCAGCGCGUCACCCCCAGACUCCACUGCGCCGUCUGGAGCCACCCCCUCGUCCUGCUCCUGGGCAGCCACGGAGCUGAGUUGUGUCGCUACAGCUCUUCCCUGUCUCUGAACGCUGCAGAAGGGGAAUCGCAGAGGACACAGCAUCGGGAGUCUGGUUUCCCCGGCUGGAAUUCCGGAUUCGUCUUGUCGUCAUGCACACCUUCCAUUUUAUGGCACAACGGUGCCCGGUUGUACAGCUGCACCACUUUGUUCAUCCAUUUCCCAGUUGAGGGAUAUUUGGGUUGUGUCCGGGUUUGGGCCACUAGCAAUAAAGCUUCCAUAAACACUCCUGUA